AAAAUUUGGGUACAAUUCUUGAGGUGAUUUUCGUAUGGUUCUUAACUAAAAAUACACCUAUGUUGCAUAUAAUAAACUCUGAGAAAAUCAUGGAUUUGAGGAAAUCAUGGUGAAUUUAGUUAAGAACCAUACGAAAAGCACCUAAGGAAUUGUACCUAAGUUUU
rnacentral:pre_miRNA from 1 species